UCAGCUCAUCUGGAGGUAACAGGCGUGUAGCACCACGCAGUCACCGUGUCACUGCGGGUAACAGGCAUGGAUGAGCUACUGAGCCGCUUAUGUGGGUGAAGGAUAUCAAAGAGCAAAGCCACAGACCAAACACUCAAACAGACCAUAAUACCCUGCCUGGCGACGCUUGCAUCAACCAGCAAACAGCCGACAGCAGCGGGCAGAUUAGAGGGCUGCGUCAGGAGAGCUGUUCAGAAACUCAAUGACAUUCUUAAGACAACAGACAAGUCCGGGUGGUCUUGAUGCACUGUCUGCUUUGGAGAGGUGAAAAUCUACUCCGCAGCAACACGCCUUCUUGUCUUCACCGUCUUCCUCGCCACACUUUCAACUUUCAGCAAAAUGACAUCUUCAGGACACUUUGAGGUGAAAUUUAACUUUAUUUCUUUCAAUGCAUUGUCUGAUCUUUCCUGCACUCGAUACCACCGCUACUAAAGCAGGCCAGGAGCCAAACCCCUUAUCUAAACCCACCGUCGUCCACAGCCUAAUUCAAUCACAGCGGGAGUCAGAGAUUGCUGUCUUGUUUAAAGAAGACAAAACGUCCUUCUGAGUCCACAUUAAAGUUAUUAUGUUUGCAGGCAUGAAUGGGGUUGGGGCUGUACCAAGCAGUGAUCUGCAUUUGGUACAUCUUCAUGAUGAAGAUAGCAGACUUUACCCCUUUUUUCACUCCUCCUAAGAAGGCUUGGCAAGUUUUGAAUUCUAAAGCGCCCAUUCUCCUGAAAUAAAAAGAACUAGAGCAUAACUUUGAUCUGUCCUAGCAUGAAAUAUGAAGUAAACAACAAGAAAAUAAAAGAGAGCAGAUAGUCAAACUAAACGUGUGCUGUGGUUUCUUGAAGAAUAACGUAAAGAAAUAUGUGAGCAGUUUCACAUGUUGGGAUUUAGAACAUUUGAGUUUCAUUCAUUUCAGUUUGCUGACAGUCAUGUUGAGAUGUUUAAAUGUUAGAUCCUUAUAAAUGAUUGCUAACAAACGUAAUCAGAGGGAGAUUUUAACCAAAAACUAACCGUUUGCGUACAGCCAAGUAGUGAGGUUUAAA